rnacentral:rRNA from 1 species
UACGGGGGGGGCAAGCGUUGUUCGGAAUUACUGGGCGUAAAGGGUUCGUAGGUGGCCAACUAAGUCAGACGUGAAAUCCCUCAGCUUAACUGGGGAACUGCGUCUGAGACUGGAUGGCUUGAGUGCAGGAGAGGAACGCGGAAUUCCAGGUGUAGCGGUGAAAUGCGUAGAGAUCCGGAGGAACACCAGUGGCGAAGGCGACACGCUGGGCCGUACCUGACACUGAUGCGCGACAGCAUGGGGAGCAAACAGG